GACAACUAGAUCCAUUGGAAG
rnacentral:miRNA from 1 species